rnacentral:rRNA from 1 species
UACGUAGGGUGCGAGCGUUAAUCGGAAUUACUGGGCGUAAAGCGUGCGCAGGCGGUUUUGUAAGACAGAUGUGAAAUCCCCGGGCUUAACCUGGGAACUGCGUUUGUGACUGCAAGACUCGAGUACGGCAGAGGGGGGUGGAAUUCCACGUGUAGCAGUGAAAUGCGUAGAGAUGUGGAGGAACACCGAUGGCGAAGGCAGCCCCCUGGGCUAACACUGACGCUCAGGCACGAAAGCGUGGGGAGCAAACAGG